GCAUUAAUGGGGUAGUGGUAACCUGGGUCGUUGCCAUUAGAAACUUGUCUUGUUUGUAUAAGCUCGACCCGCCGGGGGUUCAAUUCCCUCUUAAUGCA